UUCCGGUUGAUCCUGCCGGACCUGACUGCUAUCGGAUUGAUACUAAGCCAUGCGAGUCNUUGCAGUAAUGCAAGGCGGACGGCUCAGUAACACGUAGUCAAUCUAACCUGUGGAAGGGGAUAAUCUCGGGAAACUGAGCAUAAUACCCUAUAGGUCAUUAUAUCUGGAAUGAUUUAUGACUAAAAUGAUUUAUCGCCGCAGGAUGGGACUGCGGCCUAUCAGCUUGUUGGUGAGUUAAUGGCCCACCAAGGCUAUAACAGGUACGGGCUCUGAGAGGAGAAGCCUGGAGAUAGGUACUGAGACACGGACCCAGGCCCUAUGGGGCGCAGCAGGCGAGAAAACUUUGCAAUGUGCGAAAGCACGACAAGGUUAAUCCGAGUGGCUUCUGUUGAAGAAGCCUUUUGACUGUCCUAAAAGCACAGUUGAAUAAGGGGUGGGCAAGUUCUGGUGUCAGCCGCCGCGGUAAAACCAGCACCUCAAGUGGUCAGGAUGAUUAUUGGGCCUAAAGCAUCCGUAGCCGGAUCCAUAAGUUUUCGGUUAAAUCUAUGCGCUUAACGUAUAGGCUGCCGAAAAUACUGUGGAUCUAGGGAGUGGGAGAGGUAGACGGUACUCGGUAGGAAGAGGUAAAAUUCACUAAUCGAUCGAUGACCACCUGUGGCGAAGGCGGUCUACCAGAACACGUCCGACGGUGAGGGAUGAAAGCUGGGGGAGCAAACCGGAUUAGAUACCCGGGUAGUCCCAGCCGUAAACUAUGCAAACUCAGUGAUGCAUCGAGUUGAACUCGAUGCAGUGUUGCAGGGAAGCCGUUAAGUUUGCCGCCUGGGAAGUACGUACGCAAGUAUGAAACUUAAAGGAAUUGGCGGGGGAGCACCACAAGGGGUGAAGCCUGCGGUUCAAUUGGAUUCAACGCCGGG
rnacentral:rRNA from 1 species